GACGAACGCUGGCGGCGUGCUUAACACAUGCAAGUCGAACGCUGAAGCUCAGCUUUUGUUGGGUGGAUGAGUGGCGAACGGGUGAGUAACACGCGAGUAACCUGCCUCCUUCUUUGGGAUAACGCCCGGAAAUGGGUGCUAAUACUGGAUAUUCACUGGUCUUCGCAUGGGGGUUGGUGGAAAGGGUUUUUCUGGUGGGGGAUGGGCUCGCGGCCUAUCAGCUUGUUGGUGGGGUGAUGGCCUACCAAGGCUUUGACGGGUAGCCGGCCUGAGAGGGUGACCGGUCACAUUGGGACUGAGAUACGGCCCAGACUCCUACGGGAGGCAGCAGUGGGGAAUAUUGCACAAUGGGCGCAAGCCUGAUGCAGCGACGCCGCGUGAGGGAUGGAGGCCUUCGGGUUGUGAACCUCUUUCGCUCAUGGUCAAGCCGCAACAAUGGUUGUGGUGAGGGUAGUGGGUAAAGAAGCGCCGGCUAACUACGUG
rnacentral:rRNA from 1 species